ACUGUGCUCUCAUGGAACAACAGCAUUAUGUCGACCAAACUUCAGAAUGUUUCUCCAGCCCAAGCUACUUGAGAAUAUUUUUCAUCAUUUUCAUAGUUACAUUCUUGAUUGGGUUGCUUAAAGUCCUUAUCAUUAGACAGGUGAUACUACAAUGGAAUAGUAACAAAAUUAAGUCCUCGUCAGAUUACAGAGUGUCAGCCUCAAAAAAGGAUAAGUUGAUUCUGCAAAGUGUUUGCACAAGAGCAGUAACCUACCGACGUGAGAAGCCUGAAGAAAUAAAAAUGGAUAUCAGCAAAUUAAAUGCUCAUGAAACUUUCAGGUGCAACUUCUAA
rnacentral:lncRNA from 1 species